CUCAGGGCAGAAUAGCUGCAAACCUGAACAAGGGCGGGGUGGGCAUCUAUGGGGCUCCCACUACCUGCCCAGCGCAUGCCAGGCUCUGAGUUAGCUGGGACCAGACUCCCAAAUUAAUUCCUCACCAUCUUGGAGCUGGGGGUGGAGGCAGGAGAACUUGGGUGCUGUUUAAAAGGCGUCCACAAAGGCCAGGCCUGCGACCCCUGCGACUCUGCUGCCUCUGCUGGAUCCAGAUACCCAGAAUGGCUUCCUGGUGCUACUGCCUCCUCCACCUCCUGACCUGGAGUCUCUCUGGCACCUCCUCUGACUCCCCAAAUGAAUCAAGGAACCCUUGGGCCACAGACCCCGCGGUCCCUGGCGAGGUGGUGGAGACCACCGACAGUGUUUGCAAGUUCCCCGGGCAGCAGCUUAGCUGGUGGCAAGCCCAAGAGUCCUGCGAACAGCGGUUUGGCCACUUGGCCCUGGGACCCCUAGAUGAAGUUUCCGCUCCGCUGCUGCGCGACUCCAUCUGGGUGGGCCAGAGAGAGGCCUCUUUAAGGAGACCCCCGCAGAGGCGUGAGUGGGGGCCUGGGGCGAGGCGGGGGCUCUGACGCCCUUCAGAGAUGGGAGCCCACGUGACAGUCCUUGUGGAAAGCGCCCAAAGUGACACCUCGCUGUACUUCCAGGGUCCUUCACGUGGACUGGAAGUAGGGGUGACCCUUGGGACACAGAACCUGGGAACCCCCGUUUCUUUUUUCCCCGAGGUGGGAGGCACCCCAGAUCUCAGGAGGGGCCCCGCAGAGGUGCCAGAUCGCACUCAGCAGCAAAGCGAGGUGUGCGGCUGGGGAAACUGAGGGCCCGGGCCGUGUGUCCCCGCAGGCGCACGCACCUCCGCCGCGCUGGUGUUCGGCCGGCGGAGCGCGGAC
ensembl:lincRNA